GGAGGAGGUGUGGGGAGGAGAGAGCCCUUUCUGAUUAAUAACUAGCAGGGUAAUGUUGAGGGCUUUUUCUGCCCGAUUGCCUUUUUGAAUUAGAGCCGAUUUCUUCACACUUCAAUAGUGCCUGUCUCCUUUAAAAUGACUGGCAGAUUUGUUUCUCUUUUUUUUCUCUCCCUGAGACUUAAUGAUGUAAAUUUUCUAAUUAGUUAAAUCAUAUUGCUUAAAGGCCUAAUAUUUACCACGUAAGAGACGAUCAUCCUGUUUUGGACCUCUUGAAAUAUUCUAAGAAAUAACAUUUGGCUUUUAGGUUGAGGGCUGAAGAGGAGAAAGCUCUAUUACGGGAAGCCGUUUAGAGAAGAGAAGGCACGGACCCAGCAACAUGUUAAAUUAAUAGUUGAAGUUGAGCUGGGCUCACACCCCAAGUCCGCUUUUAUUUUUCAAUCAGUGAAGAUUUAAUUGGCAGCCCUCAGGCUGGGCGAUCUGAUAUUUUCUCAUUAGUUUCCCAUCACUAAUCUUGAGUGUUAGAUUGGCCUAAAGGUUGUCAACAUUUGACCAAUUUUAUUUAAGGGGGAAAAAAUCAUGCAUUAUGGCUCCUGGACCUGAGAUCUGCAAAUAAAUCCUGCUUGGAUCAGCGGAACUAACAGGCGAAAAAAAUGUUGACUAUUCAUCGUCGCAUUUAAGAAGUUGCAUUAAUGUAUAUUUCAAGGCUAGAGAGAGAUUAUACAUGUGCUGCGUAGAUGCAGAUGAAAAGAAAGAGGUGAACGGAGAAAGGGAUGCACUAUUAAGCGGGAUGGGUAGGUAAGGUGAGACGUAGAUGCAUUUCGAACCCAGGGUAAAUAACCCAAGUGGAAUAGCUGUUGAGGAUUUAGGAGCUACAAUCCCCCCUCCCUUUCCUUUUGCAGCUGCGUGAAACUGCUAAGCCUGUCUUGCAAGCUCAGAGUGGCUCUGCUGUCUAGUCCAGAGCUAACAUCAGAGCGCCCCCUGCUGGCCAGUACAGCAGAACGCUGCGGGUCAGCCCCCUGUAAAGCGAAUCAUGUUUUUCUGCGCACCCCACCUUUCACUGACUCCUUCCACUGCCCCCACGUCCAUUCUCCAGCAAAACCCCGCGGCAGAGGAAUAGCUUGUCAAGGACUGAACAUUUAAACGAAUUAGUGGUAAAAAUAAUAAAAUGCGAAAGAACCCCCCCCCAACCUUCACAUGGCCUCUGGGGAAUAAACCAUCAAAAGCCUUAGUAAAGGGACACAUUUCCUUUUCCUACAUCUCUUUAUUCUCUGGGUUUUCGCUAUAGUUUGUUUUUCCUGCCGACCUGCAGAUUCUGAGUCCAAGGAAAUGUUUUUCAUAGAUUCUGUAGACGUUUAAAAAAAUGGAUAUCUAAUGGGGAAAGAGGCCAAAUACAAAGCAAAGCAAUAUUUUGCGUCCUCACAAAAUUAAACUCACAGGAAACUCGCACUGUUUGAGAAAAGUAUUGAGGAAUAGCUUGCGGAAUUCAGAGGGUUCCUUGUCCAGAAUGAUGACCCUUUGCUGCAACGCAAAGCAAUACCAGAACCUCUCCCAAUCUUUUUAUUUUUUUAAGCAGAAAACGUGUUGAAAAGUUGUCACCGCAGCUGACCACACACACACACACACACACACACACACACACACACACGUCUUUUCCACUCGUGUCUAUUCUUUUUAGGGUCGUAUUUCUUAAUUUUGCUGGAGACGGAAAGGGUAGCUGACGUGCACCAAGAUAAACCGCCGAUGUCUUUGACAUUUGAUCUUCCUAUAGUGUUUCUCCUCCAAUGCAAGAAUCCCUGUGUGUCACCCCUUCUCCAACCCCCACCACCAUCUUUGGCGACGCUCCGGGAGGCGACAGGGACCUGGCGACUCCAUAGAUCCAGCGCUUCUAGGGCAAGGCAGAGGUGGGAGACAGCCCGGGUCUUCAGGUCAGUGAAGUGAUGCCUCAGUCUGAUAGUGUCUGAAGAAUUGCUGGGGCCAUUGUGGCAACUGAGGGCAAAGAAGUGAGAACAGAAGCAAGAAAAAGUGUUGCACAAACUCUUGGAAUUGUUACUGUUGAAAGGCUGCAUUUCGCUUCUGAUUUCCUCAUCUUUUGCUACAAAGAAAAAAGAAAUCCAAUGAUGUGUCUGCAUUUGAUGAGAAGAAAACACUAACAACAGCAGUGUAGGUUCGAAAGUCAUUGCGCGGAGAGGGCAGGAGUGAAUUAAGGCCCCGGGGACAGCGGACGCCGGGCCAGGAGACCGCCUGAAAUAUGAGCCGAACCUGUUUUGUGAGAUGCACUUGGGUUUGGGGGUCAGGGUCGAAGGCUUCAAAGCCCUUGGUCUGCACGUGUGAAAAAUCUCUCCCUCCCUCCCGCCCCUCCUCUUCCUCUUUCUCCCUGUUCCCCUUUC